UUUUAAAAAAAUAAAUAAAAAUAAUAAAGUAGGCCUUCCAAAUUAAGAGAUUAUUUUUUAAAGAUGAUUUUAAGAAUGUGUCAACAUGAUCAUAUCCGAAACCAAUAGGACUCUGGUAUCAACAUUUUCUUUUUCUUUUAUAGGUAAGCCAAUAAAGUAAUCAUAUUUACUUUAAAGAUGGUAAAGGAAGACUUUUUCAGCAAUGACCUAUACUGAAAAUUUAAACUUAGAGAACAAAGGUCCCUAGAACCACGGAACGAAUUCCAAAGAGUCACAAGCCCUUCUGAGGAGAUGGGACACACGAAAUGUCUCAUUAUGGCAAAGCAUAGGAAGAAGAGGUGACUACCACAGAAGCAAAAAAGAAAGAAAAGAAAACAACUAACAUUUUAACAAAAUCCCAAAGGCCAAAUAUGAACUAGUACAUGUUUACAAUAAAUGAGAACUCUAGCUACAAGGAGAGUGUGCACUCAUUCACAGGCUCUUCUCUAUGGGUCUCCGGAAGGUACUCAGAAGCAACACUGAGAUCAGAGCAGAAGACCACAGAGUCACUCUCAGUAGCAGCACAGACAAGCAGGAGGCGAAUGGCUGCCACUAGAAAAAAGGAACCAAUGCCGACGAAUUCCCUGCACCCUCCUCUUAUACCAAGCAAAAGCCUUAAGUCACUGAGAAAGGGCACCAAAUUCUUUCAUUCCCCAGGGCCACUGUGUGAGGAACAGAAACAGAAAAUAUCUUUAAGCCUAGGAUCAUAAACCAAAUUGGUUACCACUGGAGGAGGGGUGGGGCCACUGAGAAGGCUUCACAUCCCAGGACUUACAUUACCUGAUUCCAAGACUUCUAGUAAUGCUACAGUAGUUAAGACAGUGUGGUAUUGGUGUAAGAUGGACUUACAGAUCAAAGGAACAGAUCAGACAGUUCAAAAAAAGACCCACACAAAAAUAGCCAAUUGAUUUUCAACAAAGAUGCCAAUGGGAAAAGGAUAGCCUUCAACAAAAGGUGCUGGAACUAUCCAGAAAAAUGAACACUGACUCAUACUUUGCACUACAUACAAAAAUCAACUAGAAAUGGAUCACAGAUAUAAGAAAACACUGGAAAUUAUCUGUGUAACUUGGGUUAUACAAAUACUUCUUAGGAUAGGACACAAGCAUGAAUAAAAGAAAGAAAUGAUAAACUGGAAUUCAUGAGAAUUUAAAACUGCUUUUGCAUGACACUGUCAAGAAAAUGAAAAGAUAAGCGAUAGACUGGGAGAAAAUACUUAAAAACUCUCCAAAAAAUAAACAUUAAAAAAGUUAAACAAAACAAAAACAAAAAAAACCCAUACAGACAAUAUAAAGUGCGGGUGAAGAUGAAGAGCACCCCGAACUCUGAUAUAUCAAAAGUAGGAAGACAAAAUGGUACAAUCACUUCAGAAAACAAUUUGGCAGUUUUUUGUAAAGAUAUUAUAAAGUUUUGCAUUUAUGUACAAAAGUUUUGUAUUUACACAAAAGAAAUAGAAUACAUGCCCACAUAAAGAUGUGCACAUGAAUGUUUAUAGCAGCAUUAUUGUAACAGGCAAAGACUGGAGACAACUCAAAGGUCUAUUCACUGAUAAAUGGAUGAAAAAAACAAAGUGAUGCAUCCAUACAAUUGAUACUACUCUAUAAUAAAAAGGAACAAACUACUAACAUAUGCUAUAAAUUUCAAAAGCAUUAUGUUAAAUGAAAGGAGCCUGGGACAACAGCUACAUUCUGUAUAAUUCCAUUUAUAGGACAUUUUGGAAAAAGCAAAACUAUACAGAUGAACAUCAGAUCAGUGGUGUCAAGGUUUUGGGAUGUGGGAAGAGAACUGACUGCUGGAGACAAUGUUUAACAGUGAUGGAACUGGUCAAUAUCUUGAUUGUGGUAGUUCUAUUUUUUUUUUUUUAAUUUUUUUUUUCAACAUUUAUUUAUUUUUGG